UCUGCGCCAGCGAUGGCCGGUUGCGAGGUGCUGCAUGGUUGUCGUCAGCUCGUGCCGUGAGGUGUCGGGUUAAGUCCCAUAACGAGCGCAACCCCUACUGCUAGUUGCCAGCGGGUCAUGCCGGGGACUCUAGCGGAACUGCCAGCGUAAGCUGCGAGGAAGGUGGGGAUGACGUCAAAUCAGCACGGCCCUUACGUCCAGGGCUACACACGUGUUACAAUGGCCAGUACAGAGGGCAGCCACCCCGCGAGGGGGCGCUAAUCCUAAAAGCUGGUCCCAGUUCGGAUCGGAGUCUGCAACCCGACUCCGUGAAGCUGGAUUCGCUAGUAAUCGCGCAUCAGCCACGGCGCGGUGAAUACGUUCCCGGGCCUU
rnacentral:rRNA from 1 species